rnacentral:rRNA from 1 species
UACGGAGGGGGCAAGCGUUGUUCGGAAUUAUUGGGCGUAAAGGGCGUGUAGGCGGCCAAACAAGUCGGGUGUGAAAUCCCUCGGCUCAACCGAGGAACUGCACUCGAUACUGCUUGGCUUGAGUCCGGGAGGGGGUAGUGGAAUUCCCAGUGUAGCGGUGAAAUGCGUAGAUAUUGGGAAGAACACCAGUAGCGAAGGCGGCUACCUGGACCGGAACUGACGCUGAGGCGCGAAAGCCAGGGGAGCGAAUGGG